UUUCGGGUGGCAGAAAGUGCUCUGUUCCACAAGGAGUAAGCCUCAAUUGAAAGUUCUUCAUGUGACUUUCAAAAAUGCCCCGGGCAAGGCUCACUUGGAAGAAGGCAGCGGCACUGUCGGCAUCUGGACAUUCCUUCCAUGUGAUGGCACACAUCUGUUUCUUCGGGAUGAGCAGAACACUUCCCGCCCAGUUUUCCCCCAGAUGUUUGAGGAUGUGAAGAUACAGACCGAGGUUACGCUCCGUGCCGCUCCGUGUGCACAACUAACCAUGGCGCGCAGCGGGGGUGCCGCGGAGCUGCUGACCUCCAGGGAGGGCUGUCUGCCCACACGCGAGCUCAGCAGGAGUCAGAGUUAAAGCUCCGCUGUUUCUGAAGCUUCAGGAAAAUGAAGAGGAAAAUCAUCCAGGUGCCAAGCAUUUAUUGACUUCCAAGAAUGAGACCUAAAUAUUCACUGCCGAGUCUAAACAUGUGUGAAUCCGAAGGGCAGCCUGCCAAAACCAAGAGCAGAGCCAACUCGACCGCGCAGGUCAGUCGGGGGGAUCCAAGGCGUCUCUCCGCUUGCGUUUUACAUCUGGGCAGAGGCGGCCCCUGCCCUUGGGACAGCUCUGCCGUCUCCAUGGGAAAGCACCCGCUCGGGAAGGGGGACCGAACUAUGUGCUGGCUGUGCCGUGAGGGCACGACUGGUUUCAUCCCUGCUGCCCUUGCCAGAUGGGGACAUACAUUGGUUUAAGACAGAGACAUGCAAAGUUUGCUUCUGUGCAUCUUCAAAAGUUCAAUCUGCAUGAAAAAUAACCAUUUGCUUCAUUUUGUGCCAAUUUUUAAUGAUGAGUGAGAAUUUGGAUUGAAAGCUCAAGCCUGAGCAAUAAAUUUUGGCAGAAGCAACAAGUAACUUAAAGAAUGUUGGAAACUUCUGUCAGUAGCUUUUAUGUUAUUUGACCAUUUGCGUUAACUGCUGAGGCAUAGGUAGUCUCUCCUGGGCUCCCACUUCCUGAAGUGAAAGAUGAGAUUAAAGAUGUGUGCUCAAGGCGUUUGAAAUGAGGUCUCAUUGGAAUGGGGGAAGGGAAUGGGAAGACAGGACAGAGAAAGACACAGUGUCAUCUGAUCUCUGGCAUCUGGGUAUCUUGGUAGGAACUGAAAUGCACCCUGGGCAUUUAGGUUCCAAUUUUAGCUGCCUUCAUGCUGAUUUUAGAUGUUUCAUGCUUGUUAACAUCACAAGGAGCUAUUGCCCUAAAUGACACUAACCACAUGCAAGAGAAGUGUGAUCAGAUAUGCCCAGGCCACAGACAGUUCCACAAACUUCCAUUCACUCCUUUUGGGAGGCAAUUUGAGAGGCACAUUUAAUGAAGAAAAGCCCUUCUCUGGUAUUCGGGCUUUCGUUCGGUGGAACGGAAGUGCUUUUGUCUCACUUACUUUUCUGCAGUUACCUUCUCCCGGUCCUCUUGUGGUCACCUCCUCCCAGCCAUGUGCAGAGACAUUGAGCACGGAUCUGCAAGGCACUGCUUGGGAAUUGACUGAGGGAUAGAGACAAAGUAGAGGGAGCCAGUGUCCCCAGGAGGCGUGAGCCCUGAGUCCCCAUGUGGAGACAUUCAGGAGCAUGUGUCUGGGCACUUGGGACAAGUGUGAGCAUCUGUCAGCCUUGGACAGGAACGGGGAAUAGUCCCACGUGUGCCCUGCCAGUGGACAUGCAGAAGCACCUCCUGAGCCCACUGUGGCAGUCGCUUUUCCUGCUGUUGGUCAUCCACUCAGACACAGGUCGGGCACACAGGGCAGGGGUGGGGACAGGACACUUCAGUAAGGAGGGCUCUGAAGUCAACAUGAGCCCCUUCCAUCUGGAGUGGGAUCCAAAGGGCUCUCCCAAGCCCUGGGCCCCAGGCUCCGGGGACAGACACACGGCCAACGUAUAAAGUGCUGGGAAACAGCAGGCAGCUUGAAGUCAUUGGACUGAAUGAAAUCACAGCAGCCUCACAGCUGACACCUGAGCUCUCCACUGGCCGCUGAAGUCCUAAGAAGGCACUGAAGACAGGCCAGAAGAGAGUGUUAGAAAACCUAACAGGAAUAAGAAAAUGUUUUGAAGAGGAGGAGGUUCUUGAAAAGGUGUCUGGACAAGUAUUGCCGGAUGAUGGGUAAUCCAGUUGGCUCUGUGUCCUUCGGAUGCAGGUCGAGAGCAGAGCAGAUCUGCCUGUGGUCAGUACUACCCUUAGGCUGCAGCAUUUGGGAGGAUUGCUUGCUAUACACUAGUGUUCCUGAACCCUUUUUGACUGUGACUUACCCCAAGAAAUACAUUUCACAUCCUAUCCUAGAAUCACACUCAGACAUACUCACAAACACACACGUCUACAAAUGUACACUCACAUUUAUAGAUACAUAGCACCUCAAUAAAAAUUUCACAUAACAGUACUUGGUCUU